CAAUGUGAUGGUAAUUUAACUCUGAUGGAAAUUUCUUCAUUGUUUAACCAGGAUUGAAGGGCUGAACUGAUUGGGUAGGCAGCUGUCUUCUGCCUUUCAUCCCUCUUUUUUCAUGUGAAUCAUUCCUGAAACUGUACAUAGUUCAAGAAGAUGAUUUACCCCAGUUAAAAAAAAAAAAAAAAACCUACUGUUUCGGUUGCUGAGCAUUUCUGCUAAAACCACUAAACAAGUUCUCAAGGUUCAUUUAUAAUAAAAUGUAAGAUGACCAGACUUGUAGGAGUUCAAACACAGCCAAGGUAAGUGCUCCCUU
rnacentral:snRNA from 1 species